UACGUAGGGUGCGAGCGUUGUCCGGAAUUAUUGGGCGUAAAGAGCUCGUAGGCGGUUUGUUGCGUCUAUCGUGAAAACCUGCAGCUUAACUGUGGGCUUGCGGUGGAUACGGGCAGACUUGAGUUCGGUAGGGGAGACUGGAAUUCCUGGUGUAGCGGUGAAAUGCGCAGAUAUCAGGAGGAACACCAAUGGCGAAGGCAGCACUCUGGGACGUGACUGACGCUGAGACGCGAAAGCGUGGGGAGCAAACAGG
rnacentral:rRNA from 1 species